rnacentral:tRNA from 1 species
GGAUUGUGGCUCAGAGGUAGAGUGCUAGCCUAGCAUGUGUGGGGUGCUGGGUUUGAUCCUCAGCACCA